rnacentral:rRNA from 1 species
GUAGGUGGCAAGCGUUGUCCGGAAUUAUUGGGCGUAAAGCGCGCGCAGGUGGUUCUUUAAGUCUGAUGUGAAAGCCCCCGGGCUCAACCGGGGAGGGUCAUUGGAAACUGGGGAACUUGAGUGCAGGAGAGGAAAGUGGAAUUCCACGUGUAGCGGUGAAAUGCGUAGAUAUGUGGAGGAACACCAGUGGCGAAGGCGACUUUCUGGCCUGUAACUGACACUGAGGCGCGAAAGCGUGGGGAGCAAACAGGAUUAGAUACCCUGGUAGUCCACGCCGUAAACGAUGAGUGCUAAGUGUUGGGGGGGUUUCCGCCCCUCAGUGCUGCAGCUAACGCAUUAAGCACUCCGCCUGGGGAGUACGGCCGCAAAGACUG